rnacentral:rRNA from 1 species
GACAGAGGAUGCAAGCGUUAUCCGGAAUGAUUGGGCGUAAAGCGUGUGUAGGCGGAUCGUUAAGUGCCUUGUGAAAUCCCACGGCUCAACCGUGGAACUGCUUGGCAUACUGGCGGUCUUGAGCAACCUAGGGGCGAGCGGAACAAAUGGUGGAGCGGUGAAAUGCGUAGAUAUCAUUUGGAACGCCAAUGGUGAAAACAGCUCGCUGGGGGUUUGCUGACGCUGAGACACGAAAGCCAGGGGAGCAAACGGG